CGGGGGGGGGGCUUACCAUGCACGUCGAACGGAAGCGCCCUGCUUUUGUGGGGUGCUCGAGUGGCGAACGGGUGAGUAACACGUGAGUAACCUGCCCUUGACUUUGGGAUAACUUCAGGAAACUGGGGCUAAUACCGGAUAGGAGCUCCUGCUGCAUGGUGGGGGUUGGAAAGUUUCGGCGGUUGGGGAUGGACUCGCGGCUUAUCAGCUUGUUGGUGGGGUAGUGGCUUACCAAGGCUUUGACGGGUAGCCGGCCUGAGAGGGUGACCGGCCACAUUGGGACUGAGAUACGGCCCAGACUCCUACGGGAGGCAGCAGUGGGGAAUAUUGCACAAUGGGCGGAAGCCUGAUGCAGCAACGCCGCGUGCGGGAUGACGGCCUUCGGGUUGUAAACCGCUUUCGCCUGUGACGAAGCGUGAGUGACGGUAAUGGGUAAAGAAGCACCGGCUAACUACGUGCCAGCAGCCGCGGUGAUACGUAGGGUGCGAGCGUUGUCCGGAUUUAUUGGGCGUAAAGGGCUCGUAGGUGGUUGAUCGCGUCGGAAGUGUAAUCUUGGGGCUUAACCCUGAGCGUGCUUUCGAUACGGGUUGACUUGAGGAAGGUAGGGGAGAAUGGAAUUCCUGGUGGAGCGGUGGAAUGCGCAGAUAUCAGGAGGAACACCAGUGGCGAAGGCGGUUCUCUGGGCCUUUCCUGACGCUGAGGAGCGAAAGCGUGGGGAGCGAACAGGCUUAGAUACCCUGGUAGUCCACGCUGUAAACGGUGGGUACUAGGUGUGGGGUCCAUUCCACGGGUUCCGUGCCGUAGCUAACGCUUUAAGUACCCCGCCUGGGGAGUACGGCCGCAAGGCUAAAACUCAAAGGAAUUGACGGGGCCCCGCACAAGCGGCGGAGCAUGCGGAUUAAUUCGAUGCAACGCGUAGAACCUUACCUGGGUUUGACAUGGAUCGGGAGCGCUCAGAGAUGGGUGUGCCUCUUUUGGGGUCGGUUCACAGGUGGUGCAUGGCUGUCGUCAGCUCGUGUCGUGAGAUGUUGGGUUAAGUCCCGCAACGAGCGCAACCCUUGUUCACUGUUGCCAGCACGUUAUGGUGGGGACUCAGUGGAGACCGCCGGGGUCAACUCGGAGGAAGGUGGGGAUGACGUCAAGUCAUCAUGCCCCUUAUGUCCAGGGCUUCACGCAUGCUACAAUGGCUGGUACAGAGAGUGGCGAGCCUGUGAGGGUGAGCGAAUCUCGGAAAGCCGGUCUCAGUUCGGAUUGGGGUCUGCAACUCGACCUCAUGAAGUCGGAGUCGCUAGUAAUCGCAGAUCAGCAACGCUGCGGUGAAUACGUUCCCGGGGCUUGUACACACCGCCCGUCAAGUCAUGAAAGUUGGUAACACCCGAAGCCGGUGGCCUAACCGUUGUGGGGGAGCCGUCGAAGGGGGGAACGG
rnacentral:rRNA from 1 species